GAACAGAAUUUGAAUAAAAGAAAAAAAUAACAUUUUUCUCCUUUUCCCUUUCCUCCAUAUUUACCUUUUCAUGUUUCUCUUGCUCUUUGUGUUUGGAUAUCAAAUUUUCUGCAAAGCUCUGGUCUUUUCUUUACAAACGUUUGGAAAUCUUGUAUUUUGUUGAAUGCCCAUACUUCCCCCCUGGAAGUAGUCAGUUUUGAUGGAUAACUGAUUUUUGGUUGAAGACCCAGCUAUCUUGCUUUUCUGAAUAUCAUGUUCCAUGCUUUACGGUCGUUCAGAGUGGAAAUUGCUAGGUCCUGUGUGACCCUGAUUGGUGUUCCUUUAUAUUAAAUUGUCUUUUUUUCUGGCUUCUUGUAAGAUUUUUUCUUUUGCUUGGAAGCUUUGGAAUUUGGCAAUUACAUUCCUGGGAGUUAUCUUUUGGGGAUUUAGCAUAGAGGGUAUUCUGUGAACUCUUUCAAUGCAUAUUUUGUCCCCUUUUUCUAGAAUCUCUAGGCAGUUUUCUUUGAUGAUAUCAUGUAUUAUGAUAUCAAGAUUACUGUUUAUCUCUGGUUUUUCGGGCAGACCAGUGAUUCUCAGGUUGUCUCUCCUUCCUCUGUUUUCCAGGUCUGUCACCUUGUCAGUGAGAUAUUUUAUGUUGUCUUCUAAUUCUCUAAUCUUUUGACUUUGCUUUAUUAUUUCUUGCUCGUUUGCAAGAUUAUUGUCUUCCAGUUUCCUGAUUCUGACCUCUAAAGACUGGUUUUCCUUUUCAGUUUGGUCUGACCUGUUUUUUGAGGCUUCGAGCUGUUUCUGCAUUUGCAUAUUUUGGUAUCUCAUAUUGCUGAGUUCCUUUUGCAUUGUUUCCCGUUUUUCCUGCCAGAAGCUUCCAUCUUUUUGAUAAUUUCCGAUGUAAAUUCUUCAAGAGUUUGUGGAGAAUUUCCAUUUCCUUUGGAAGUUAUUGGAGCAUUUGUUUGUUUCCUCUUCUAUCUCCUCUGUAUUUUGUAUUUUUGCUCCAUAAAAUGUGUCCAAAGUCACCCCCUUCUUCUUGCUUUUCUUGGUGUUUGGAGGCUUUUGCACUUCUGUACUGUUUGCCAUCUCUAUCUGAGUGAGGAGGACUGGCUCUUAGUGUAUCUGUCUGAUGGUCCGAGGCUUCAGCCCCAGGCAAAUUGUCCAUUCUCUGCAGCUGCGCUGUCUUCCCGGGGAAGCCCAGGGUCUGCCCUCCCCUGACUGACAGCAUUUCAGUUCCCUCCAGUUUCUUCUCUGCUGCCUUACUUCCACGCUCUGAGCCUGGCACAACACUGUCCGCAAGGUACCUCAGUGCCUUUGCCAGCCCUGAGGUUUCUGUCCUUUCAGAAGACCCUGCACUCUAAGGGGGGGAGGGAUCCUGGCCUCCCUGAGCUCUGAGGGCUCCUGAUGGGAUUAGGUUCAGCUGGAUUGGACUGGAUGUGCCCUGAAGCAAAAACCUCUGCUGCUUCCCUGCCCCCUCUCCCCUGAGACUGGCCCAGGUUACUUUCAAGGUGCACCCUUCUGAGCAACCUCUUUGCAGGCCCCAAGGUUUCUGUCCUUUCAGAAGACCCUGAACUCUAAGGGGGGGGGGUGUCCUGGCCUCCCUGAGCCCUGAGGGCUCCUGAUGUGAUUAUGUUCAGCUGGAUUGGACUGGAUGUGCUCCAAAGCAAAAACCUCCAGUGAGACUCAGAUGGAGCCCCCCCCACCUCUGUUUCCCUGCCAUCUGUGUUGGACACCCUGAGACUGGCUUAGGUUGCUUUCAAGGUAUGCCCUGCAGAACAGCCGGCCCUGAGGCCCUUUUGCCAGCCCUGAUGUUCCCACUGCUGCUGUUGGCUCAGCACUCUGGGUUGGGGGGGAGGGGUCCUGGGACCUUCCUUCUGCCUUCUCCUUAGACCCGAGUGAUCUAGGAUUCCGGCUUUUGGGGGGGCGUACCUUUUGAUCUGAGUCCAGGAGGAGGGUUCCCCGGCUCUGUCCUGUUAUUAAGUUUGAAUUUCAGAUCAGUAAGGAAGGGUUUUCAGAGAUCUGAACUUUUGCUACCUCUAAGCUGCCAUCUUGACUCUCCUUGCUCUUGUUGCCUGAACCAUUGAUCUGCAGGGAGUGAGAAAUAGUGAGGAAUCUGGAAUGACUCCUAAAUUGUGAGCCUGAGGAACUGGGAGGAUGAUGUUGCUCUCUACAGUAAUAGGGAAGGUAGGAGGGUCAAAAAAUUGCAAUAUUUGUCAAGGAAAGGCACCCACAUGCAUCUUCUCAUGGAGAGGUAGACAAGAGAAAGUGUCAUUUGAUGGAAAUAAUGCUGGCAGAGGAGUUUGGGUCUGAUGAUAGUUCAAAAUGUAUAAUAACACUUUGAGGUAGAUGGUACAAGUAUUAUCAUCCCUGUUGUACAAAUGAAGAAACAGGCUAAGAGGAGUGCAGGGACUGCACAGGCAGUUAAAUGCCAGAACAGAGAAUCACUUGAAAGUUUUUUUUUUUUUUUAGCACAGGAGGGAUAUGAUAUGAGUAGAACAACUCCUCUGUACUCAAUUUCUGUCAAGUUACAACAAACUGGCAGGUUAGAUUCCCAAAGGGCCAGGCUAUGAUUCCCUUUAGGAUUCUAUGGGGGGGGGUAAUUAUGGUUUCUAAUGCUGCUGCUCAUGAGCCCCCAUCUUGUGUGUCCCCCUAAACUUAAAUAUCAAUAAAUCAACCAGGAGAACUCAAUUAGCUUCUUUAAAAAAGGCUAGCAAGAACAGUAAUUACAAAAUAUCUCCACCCUCUCUACUCUAGGGGUGGGAGGAGACUGCACAUACUCAAGGUCCCUGUAGAGAGUGGAUUCAAGUAUGAUGUGCAGGUAACAUGUGUGGCUGAGCAGUAGCUACUUACUUGGUCCUUGAAACCCUUUCUUCCUUUUGGGAGUCUUUAUCAAGUUAUUGUAAGAUGUAGCUUUCUUCUAGGCUUUAAGGAGUAGUAUUUUACUAGAUUCAGUAGCUGGACUUUCUCUCUAUUAUGAGGCAUCCUGAUUCUGGAAGCUGCCACUCCCCUGGGGGAAUGUCUUUCUAUUUCUGUCUGUAGGUGUGCUUCCUCUGGUGUUAGCCACUAUCACUUUGGCAAGUUCUCCUACUGACUCCUGUUGGCAGAAGGAUCUUUCUGAUGGUGCUGAUGAACCUCCCAAGUGUUCUAGUUUCCUGGGUACUGCUUUCUCAGAACACUCAUUCACUUAGGAUCAGGACAGGAUAAACCCAAAAGAAAGGCAGCCCAUGUCAGGGGUCAAUUUCCUAUAAUUCAGCAUCUCAAAACACCCUUCUUCACUUGAGAGAAACUAGGGAAGAGAAAGUUGGCUGCUCAUACCUUUUAGGUGCACACUCAAUUCUGGUUCAGCCUCUCAAGCCAUCAUUCCUUCCAUUUCCAAAGUAAUUAGAAGACUUUUUAUCUCUACAAAAUAUCAGCUCUUAAGUCAUUCAUGACACGAAACUGACUACCCCCCAAUUUCAUGUUGGAUUAGAUGAUAGUGCAUAUUUUGGGAUUUAGAAAUGUUUUCUUUUACAUGUCUUGCUUUCUAUCUAUACCUAAGAGAAUAGAUCAUCUCAUCUCUUAAUGAAGGGCAUAUCUAAAAGGGUGAGAGUUAUUUCUGAGGAGCAGAGCUCGAGUCUUUUCUAAGUCCAGGCUACCAUCACUUUCUAAACCAUUUUUCCAUCAAACUUCAUACCAGUGAAAUAAAUGGAUAUUGUGAAUUUUAGAUUUACUCCACCCUGCUUGGUCUAAACCCCUACUUAAGGAUUAAGUAUUGAGGAGGAUGGCCUUAAGAAUUAAGUAUUUAGGGGAUGCCCAUCAAUUGGGGAAUGGCUGAGCAAAUUGUGGUAUAUGUUGGUGAUGGAAUACUAUUGUACUAAAAGGAAUAAUAAAGUGGAGGAGUUCCAUGGAGACUGGAGCAACCUCCAGGAAGUGAUGCAGAGCGAGAGGAGCAGAACCAGGAGAACAUUGUACACAGAGACUAAUACACUGUGGUAUAAUCGAACGUAAUGGACUUCUCCAUUAAUGGCGGUGUAAUGUCCCUGAACAAUUUGCAGGGAUCCAGGAGAAAAAAACACCAUUCAUAAGCAAAGGAUAAACCAUGGGAGUGGAAACACCGAGGAAAAGCAACUGCCUGAAUACAGAGGUUGAGGGGACAUGACAGAGGAGAGACUCUAAAUGAACACUCUAAUGCAAAUAUUAUCAACAAAGCAAUGGGUUCAAAUCAAGAAAACAUGUAAUACCCAGUGGAUUUACGCGUCAGCUAUGGGGGGUGGGGUGGAGGAAAAGAAAAUGAUCUAUGUCUUUAAUGAAUAAUGCUUGGAAAUGAUCAAACAAAAUAUAUUAAAAAGAAAUAAAUAAUAAAAAAAAGAAUUAAGUAUUUAGGAGGAUGGCCUUCAACAGACAUGUGCUAGCAAAUGACAAAUCAGAAACAACUGACAGACCCCUGGGCUGUCCUAAGUCAAACUUAAGCUACCAUUGGUACAUGUGAGAUGCAAGAAAGUGAUGUAAAGACAGCCAGGAAACAUGCCAGAAAUCUCACGUGGUUAGUCUCGGUUCCCAGAAGGUGCACCAAUGGGGUUCCACGACCAUUUCCGGGUGAGAGGAGACAAGGAAGGAGCCCCAAACCCCGGUGCCCACAAAGAGGAAGUCUUCCUAUCCCUUGGGACUCCCACCCCUGAAGGACCCCAGUCUGGCCCCAGCAGAGAGCCUGGAGCCAGAGAGAAUGGCCCAUGGGACCCUGAGGCCCCCCUCCCAGGGGUCAAUAACACUCAAGGAUGUGACUGUGGACUUCACCCAGGAGGAGUGGGGCCUUUUGGACCAUUCUCAGAGAGAGCUGUACCUGCAGGUCAUGCUGGAGAAUAUGCAGAAUUUACUCUCUGUGGGGCUUCCAGUUCCUAGAGAUAAUUUUAUUUCCUGUUUCUAGCAAGGGGAAGCAUCCUAGCUGCUAGAGCAAGAAGACCCAAGGAGCUCCAGUCCAGAGGCAGAGACUAAUUUUGAAGUGAAGAUGUCUACACAGCUAAACCUUUUUGUGGAAGGAUAUGACCCCCAACGAUUCAUAACUGAGGGUCCCUGUAACUUCUCUUUGAGAGAAAUCUGUGGCUCUAAUAUGAAGUGAUUGUGAGAGCAAAGGAUAAAACUCUUGAUUUUGACAUCAUGAAUCAGACAUUCACAUAAGCUGGGUACAUGCCACAGAUAGCAGAGGGCAACAGAUUAAGGAUGGAAGUGAAACUCAUAUGAAAAACACUCAAAUCAUGUACCAUAGGAACCUUAGCUCAGAAGGAUCAUAUCUGAAGAGGAAGAAGGAAGAAAAUGACAACAGACAGACAGAACUCACUGACUCACUCAACCUAAUCACAAAGAAACACUUCAGAGUUAUUUCCUGAAUUCUUAGGCUUUGAUUAUGGCUUAAUUUUGUUCUGAGAAGAACACGAACUCUUUCUUUUUUGAAAGUCACAUGUUCCAACAGUAAAAUUCCUAUGGAGGCAA